rnacentral:rRNA from 1 species
UACGUAGGGACCAAGCGUUGUCCGGAAUCAUUGGGCGUAAAGAGCGUGUAGGCGGCUUGUUAAGUCUUGCGUGAAAUCUCGGGGCUCAACCCCGAGCGGUCGUGAGAAACUGGCAGGCUAGAGUGCGGGAGAGGAGAGUGGAAUUCCUGGUGUAGCGGUGAAAUGCGCAGAUAUCGGGAGGAACACCAGUGGCGAAGGCGACUUCCUGGCCUGUUCUUGACGCUGAGGCGCGAAAGCUAGGGUAGCAAACGGG